rnacentral:rRNA from 2 species
AGACCCGAAACCCGGUGAUCUAGCCAUGGGCAGGUUGAAGGUUGGGUAACACUAACUGGAGGACCGAACCGACUAAUGUUGAAAAAUUAGCGGAUGACCUGUGGCUGGGGGUGAAAGGCCAAUCAAACCGGGAGAUAGCUGGUUCUCCCCGAAAGCUAUUUAGGUAGCGCCUCGUGAAUUCAUCUCCGGGGGUAGAGCACUGUUUCGGCUAGGGGGCCAUCCCGGCUUACCAACCCGAUGCAAACUGCGAAUACCGGAGAAUGUUAUCACGGGAGACACACGGCGGGUGCUAACGUCCGUCGUGAAGAGGGAAACAACCCAGACCGCCAGCUAAGGUCCCAAAGUCAUGGUUAAGUGGGAAACGAUGUGGGAAGGCCCAGACAGCCAGGAUGUUGGCUUAGAAGCAGCCAUCAUUUAAAGAAAGCGUAAUAGCUCACUGGUCGAGUCGGCCUGCGCGGAAGAUGUAACGGGGCUAAACCAUGCACCGAAGCUGCGGCAGCGAACGUAUCACUUAAAGCGAUUCAGCGGGUUACGAUUGACGGAGCGAAGCGACGUCAAAGCGUAUACAAAGUCGAGUCGGUUUAAGGAUACGUUC